UGGUUGGUCUCCUCUGGGUUUCCUUUCUUUUUAUUGAAGGAGACUGGUUUGCUUGUUGCUUAAAUAAUCUUUCUGAGGAACAAGCAAAUUUACCCUGCAAAGCUGCAGGGAUGAGGACCGAUGAAGAGAGAGCAGUCAUUGCUGUGAUGAAGAACACGUCCAGGGUUAUUGGCUGCUGGCUGCUCUUUAUCAUUAUUUCCUCAGGAGCCAUGAUUUCAUGGGCUAGAUGGAAAUGUGACGGCGCCUGCAGCUGCAGCAAACAAUCUGCUCAGUAUGAAGAAACGCUUUAUUACAAACUGGUUCUAGAGGAGGAGGAAAAGGUGCUGAAGGAGGUUCUGAGGGAGUCAAUAAACAUAAAGCUGACUGCAGAGAUCAAGAAGAAAAAUGAGAAUAACUGGAAAGAAUGUUUUAAAGUUACCAGUGACUUCCUUCAACAUGAAUUAAAGCAAACAGCGAAUACUAAGCAGAUUAAAGAAACAAAAGAACCAAGAGAAGACGUCGAGGUGACCCAGAACCUUCUAGAAGAACCUUGAAUCCAAUGCGAAUAUUGCAGGAGGAGCUGGAGAUGUCCAGGUUUCCCCUAUUGGUCCGGACACCGGUAUGAUCCGACCUUAGACUGAUCCGUCAGUGGAUGACAUCCUGUUUUAGAAAUGUUUGUGGGAUCCCAAAAGGCUCCGUUCUUGGCCGCCCUCUAUUCUUACUUUCACUUUCACUUGGAGCUAUUUCUUGGACAUCCAGUCAGCUUCUGUUCCCAGGACUGAGCUUAAACGCUGGGGUGUUCUGAUGCUGGGAUCCACUCUCUGGGACCCGGUUCCUUUGGAUCUUCAUGCCAUCACUGAACCAAGCCUUUUUAAAAGCAAGUUAUAUGCAUGUCUCCAUCACACGGCUUUCACAUAGCCUAACCUGUGUUUAUAUCUCUACAUUUAAACAUUUGAACCUGAUUGUGCGAUAAACACAAACUGUGUAGAAACUGCAAUAUAUACUUUUAAUACAAAUAUUUUGAAUUUAUUAAUCUUUGAGUUUAAGUCUUGGGGUUAAAAAGAGACAUUUACUGGAAAAAAACAAAAAAAAAACAGAAACAGUUGUAUAAAAUUGUAAAGGAAAAAAAAACAUUAUUUCCAUACGACUACAGUAAAAAUACAACAGGACAUUAAAACGAAAGACGAAGAAGUUAUACCAUGAAAACAGCAUGAUUUCCUCAGUCGAAGUUUAAAAUGACCCAACAAUACAUAUAAAAACUGAAUGUUAAAUCCAAGUUUACUUUUUUUAAAGUAAGCAGUGCACCUGGUGCUGCCUGGUUCAUCCUGUGGUCUACCUGUGAAUGCUACAGUCUUAAAUGCCGCCCCUUCUAUCUGUGUAAAGGGCUUUUAGAUAUUAGUAGGUCAAAUUGUGCAGUGUAAAAAUCAGUUGAAUCAAACAUUUUUUACAAUUUGGACUGCUGGAACUCACAGGGAAACAGGAAACCUUCAUCAGUGAGGUGAAGCAGAGUCCAGCUGGCUGAGCAUGUGGGAAGGAGGCUGUUUUAUGCGCCUGUUUUGGUUUUAGCUUUGGUUUGUUGCAUGGUUGUUUUAUAUUUUUGUGCCUGUUUAUUGAAAGACAUACCGGUUCCUACUCCCUCCAUCUGGCCAGUGACUAAUUACACAGGUGUAUCCCAUCAUGAGUGAUUGGAGACAGAAAAAAGGGGCAGCCACACCCAGUCACGGGAGGAGAGAGAGACAGAGACAAAAUGCGCGGUGGAGCUAUCAGCGCCCAGCCAGUGCCCUGAAAAACACCCGGCAAAGAGCUUGGAGAUUGCCGUCACACGGUACCUGGAGCUUGAGGUCAGGGUCACCCAGAAACUUGGAGACCAGGAAACUCUGAAGCAGCCCCCACAAAACCUCUGGUAAGAGCAAUCCAUGCAGCAACUCAAAAAGUUGCCUGUAAACAACAUGCUGAAGUUAGAAAAAUGUUGUUUGUCAUCCUACUCACACAUUUGUCGAACUAAGACCCUCCAUUUGCCCUGUUCAACUCUGGUUAUAUUAAGCAGUUCACUUUCCCCAUUUCUUUAGCAAUCACAAAUUGCAUUUAAACAUUUUUUUUCCUCCUCUUCCUUCAUCAAUUAUAAAACUGCCUCCACUAACAUUGUGGUGUUGUGUUGUCUUUCAAAUUUCUACAUUCUUAGUGUGACUGUGACAUACGGCAGGACUUUCUAGGAGUUUUUGUAGCAGUGAUUCUCAUGAAAUAUGAAU